AGCGAACGCUGGCGGCAGGCCUAACACAUGCAAGUCGAACGAACCUUUCGGGGUUAGUGGCGGACGGGUGAGUAACACGUGGGAACGUGCCUUUAGGUUCGGAAUAACUCAGGGAAACUUGUGCUAAUACCGAAUGUGCCCUUCGGGGGAAAGAUUAAUCGCCUUUAGAGCGGCCCGCGUCUGAUUAGCUAGUUGGUUGAGGUAAUGGCUCACCAAGGCGACGAUCAGUAGCUGGUCUGAGAGGAUGAUCAGCCACAUUGGGACUGAGACACGGCCCAAACUCCUACGGGAGGCAGCAGUGGGGAAUCUUGCGCAAUGGGCGAAAGCCUGACGCAGCCAUGCCGCGUGAAUGAUGAAGGUCCUAGGAUUGUAAAAUUCUUUCACCGGGGACGAUAAUGACGGUACCCGGAGAAGAAGCCCCGGCUAACUUCGUG
rnacentral:rRNA from 1 species